rnacentral:lncRNA from 1 species
AAAACGUAUGAGGAAGAAAAUAGCAGAUGAGAAGAAUCAACCAAAUUCCGGAAGCUGGAAGGCAGAUGCAAGAAGGCCCUUGAAUGAUGCCAGCACCUUGAUAUUGGACUUUCCAGCCUCCAGAACCAUGAGCCAAUACAUUUCUGUUCCAUAAAAAUUACCCAGUUCCAGGUAUUCUGCUAUAGCAGCACAAAAUGGACUAAAACAAUGUUGGCACAAGACUCAGUGCUGGGCCUGGCAUGCAACAGGUCCUUGGAGUGGCGUGCUGUGUGGAUAAUGAAUAUUGGGGAAGGCAUCUCUCUCCAGCCCCUCUCAAGCUUUCUGUAGUCACUGGUCCACUCUGUAUUGCUAUGAAGAAGCUCAAGACCAGCCUGUAUCACUCGGGGUCCUGGCAGGAACCAGGUGCCACACUCAAACUGAGUAAUUGAAGAGGGUUUAAUAUGGGAGUUAUUUACAUAGGUGUGGGCUGGUGUAGCUGCCCAUAUGCCCUCAAAAUCACCUCUACAUGGCAAUAGCUACUUACUGCUAACAGAGUCUCUCUCUCAUUGCUGCAAAUAUUUUCUAGCCAUGCAAGAAACUCAGCCGGUCAUGUUGAACAAACUAAGAGUGCCAGGAAGUUAAUGUCCUGGAAGCAUUGCCAGAGGGGAGGGGGCAGUUAGAUUCCCCAGCUUCCUCGCUCCUCUGCUGGGUUAAGCCUGCAACAUAUUCAUCAUCUCCCAGAGUGCUGCCCAGGGAUAGAGCUCCAGGUGCUCAGUGUGGUGACCUGCUCAUGUCAGCUUCUUCCCCUUUCCUGUCUUGUUUCGCACCCACAUCCUUCCCAUGUUUCCUCUUCCCAAAUAAACUACUUGCAUUGAAAUCUUUGUCUCAGGCUCUGCUUCUGGGGAAACCUGAAC